CCGUGGGGCAGGGAGUCAGUGUUUUGUUUAUAAACACAGGCGGGAUGAUUAAGAUAAGAAGGGGAUGGUAAUUAAAUUAAAUUAAGGCUCUGGAAGUCGUUAGAUGAGCCUGAAAGCCUUGCCAGUCGCUUUAAUUCCUGGCUCUGCAGAACAGGGGCUCUCUGUGGUCGAGCACCGGAGGGUGACCGAGGGACCAAGGGGCUCUUUCAGCAGCUCAGUGAAGAAGAGACACACACGGUUAUACCCCAAAAAGGGGGAUGUGAGGGAGCCAGAGCUCAAACUGGAGCUAAGACAGCGGGGGACAAAGGACCUGGAUCCCCCCUGGGAUGCAGCACACAGCAGGACACCCGUCCCACCUGCUGGGCGCAGGCUGGGGCAGCAAGUUUGGGGUAAAACGGGUUAGCAAGCAGUUUUUGGAAGUGUUUAUGUCUCCAGCUCGGAGGCUGCAGCUCUACCUGUGCCAGCUCAGAGCAAACGACAGCAGCAACACCCAGAGCCGACAAGUCCGCCCCGCGGGGCACGGCACGCCUGGCCACGCACCCGGGGAUGACGGCUCCUGCUAUGGGGCUGCGGGUUUGCCUUGAAAUCCUGCCCCCGUUUGUUUUGUUUUCCUGCUUGCAAUGGCACUGGUAUACCUUAAUAUAUUUUUUUCUGCUACG